rnacentral:lncRNA from 1 species
AUUUAAAAAGGUUGAAUAUACGCAUAAGUAUUAACAUUAGUUCCGAAUAUAUUGAGAAACGGAUUUCGAAGUUUCCCUCUCUUGUGGAUUUGGAACUGACGGUUGAUUGUUGGAAACCAGUGGAGAUGAAAAUGUCGCUUCAUCAACUCGAGACAGUAAAAAUACAUUGUAGUUAUAUGAAGAACAGCAUCGAUACUCCAAGUCUUCAUUUUUACUCGUACAGUGAUCAUAUAAAG